rnacentral:rRNA from 1 species
AUUGAACGCUGGCGGCAGGCCUAACACAUGCCAGUCGAGCGGAUGAAGGGAGCUUGCUCCUGGAUUCAGCGGCGGACGGGUGAGUAAUGCCUAGGAAUCUGCCUGGUAGUGGGGGAUAACGUCCUGAAACGGGCGCUAAUACCGCAUACGACCUGAGGGAGAAAGUGGGGGAUCUUCGGACCUCACGCUAUCAGAUGAGCCUAGGUCGGAUUAGCUAGUUGGUGGGGUAAAGGCCUACCAAGGCGACGAUCCGUAACUGGUCUGAGAGGAUGAUCAGUCACACUGGAACUGAGACACGGUCCAGACGCCUACGGGAGGCAGCAGUGGGGAAUGUUGGACAAUGGGCGAAAACCUGAUCCAGCCAUGCCGCGUGUGUGAAGAAGGUCUUCGGAUUGUAAAGCACUUUAAGUUGGGAGGAAGGGCAGUAAGUUAAUACCUUGCUGUUUUGACGUUACCAACAGAAUAAGCACCGGCUAACUUCGUG